AUUGAACGCUGGCGGCAGGCUAAACACAUGCAAGUCGAACGCAUCCUUCGGGGUGAGUGGCAGACGGGUGAGUAACGCGUGGGAACGUGCCCUUCAGUUCGGGAUAACCCAGGGUAACUUGGGCUAAUACCGGAUACGUGCGAGAGCAGAAAGAUUUAUCGCUGAAGAAUCGGCCCGCGUCUGAUUAGCUAGUUGGUGGGGGAAUGGACCACCCAGGAGACUAUCAGUAGCUGGUCUGAGUGGAUGAUCAGCCACAUUGGGACUGAGACACGGCCCAAACUCAUGCGGGAGGCAGCAGUGGGGAAUAUUGGACAAUGGGCGAAAGCCUGAGCCAGCCAUGCCGCGGAAGAGAUGAAGGUCUUAGGGUUGUAAAGCUCUUUGGUCCGAGACGAUAAUGACGGUACCGGAAGAAGAAGCCCCGGCUAACUUCGUGCCAGCAGCCGCCGUAA
rnacentral:rRNA from 1 species